AACGCACAUUGCGCCCCUUGGUAUUCCAUGGGGCAUGCCUGUUCGAGCGUCAUUUGUACCCUCAAGCUUUGCUUGGUGUUGGGCGUCUUGUCUACCUCUUUAGCGGAUAGACUCGCCUUAAAGUAAUUGGCAGCCAGUGUUUUUGGCAGUAAGCGCAGCACAUUUUGCGUCUUAGUCCCUAAACAGUGGCAUCCACAAAGCCUCUUUCUCACUUUUGACCUCGGAUCAGGUAGGGAUACCCGCUGAACUUAA
rnacentral:misc_RNA from 1 species